rnacentral:lncRNA from 1 species
UAACACUCCCUUGAAGUACUGGAGUAUAAUCAAACAACUUGGCUCCUGCUGAAACCCGCUCCCACCUGUUUCGGUCCUGAAGGGGACAUUUGGAUACAGACACAGGCAUGAACAGAGGAGAGACCAUGUGAAGAGUCACAGGGAGAAUGCCAUGUGAAGACAGAGGAAUGGAAUUAUCCAUCCACAUGCAAUAAAAUGCCAAAGAUUGCCAGGAAGUCACCAGAAGCUUGGAACAGUCUGAGGGAGUUUCGCUCUUGUUGCCCAGGCUGGAGUCCAGUUGCACGAUCUUGGCUCACUGCAACCUCCGCCUCCCAGGUUCAAGCAAUUCUCCUGCCUCAGCCUCCCAAGUAGCUGGGAUUACAGGCAUGUGCCACCACGUCCAGCUAAUUUUUUUUUUUUUUUUGUAUUUUUACUAGAGAUGGAGUUUAACCAUGUUGAUUCUAAUGUCAGUCUUUAACAUUGACUGUUCUAGUGGGUGUGUAUUGAUAACUCAUUUUUGUCUUAAUUUGCAUUUAUCUCAUGAAUGUCAAUGUUGACUGUAUUUUCUGUGCUUAUUGGACUUUUAUAUGACAUUUAUUUUGAAAGUUUGUUGAAAUAGAGUUGUUUAUCUUCUUAUUGUCAAGUUGUAAGACUUCUGUAAGUAUUCCAG